GUUACUCAACACUGCAGUUAUGACGCCUCUGUUCAUCUCAGUGUUGCUGGCUGCUGUGUGCCUUGAAUGCAGAGCACAAAAAGACAACGUGCUGCAAGCAACAGAAGAUGUGACUGCUACUGAAGGAGAGGCAGUAACACUUGGCUGUCUAUAUAACAGCAGUUCAACAAGUCCAAAUCUCUUCUGGUACAAACAGGAUGGAGACAACAGCCCCAAAUUCAUAUUGAGCCGCUUUAACACAGAGGACGAGUUUAAGGAGAGAUUUUCAUUCACACUGGAUUCCAUCUUAAGAUCAGUUCCUCUGAAGAUCCAGAAGCUUCAGCUGUCUGACUCUGCUGUGUACUACUGUGCUCUGCAGCCCACAGUGACAGGAAACACCAAGACUCUGUACAAAAACCUUUGGAGCAAAGACAACAGAAUACUCCACAACGUCCACUAGAGGGAGUCACACACUGUUAACCUUCAGUGGUUUGUGAUGAUACAGUCUAGAAUCACUUUACUCUCAGACAAGAUUGUGAUGGAAAGCUUUAGAAAUAAAACCACUCACAACUUGUUAUCUCUGAACAUUUAAUUACAUUUCACCAGAGUAACCAUGACAACAUUUAGUGAGAUCUGUUCAAAUCUUACAGGUAUAAAAUAUUUUGAGAAGAACUACAAUAGGAAGAAGCCAUUUUUAAAGCAGAUUAGACCAUUUUGUUGUAAAUCCAGAUUCAAAAAUAUCUUUAAUGUGAUGUUUUUCAAAGGACGUCGUUUCCUUUAGGAGCAAAACUAAAAAUAUAUAUCUUAUGUCUAUAACUAGGUAAUACCUUGGAAGAUAUUACUAGCAGUUGAAGUGUUUUAGAAUCAUGUAAUUACAAAUAAUUAAUCUGUAAUGUUUGAACAGAUUCAUGUACAGUUCCCAAGGUUCUUUAAACUAUACAUAUUAACAAAGCAAUGAGGUCGGAUGGCAUGUCCACUUUUCUUUGAAGGACAUUUGCUGAGCGACUCAAACCGGCCCGGCAUCGACUCUUCCAGCUCUCUACAGAUAAACACUCGCUGCCAGAGCUCUGGAGAACAUCCGUUAUAGUUCUAGUUCUCAAAAAGUCUUGUCCUCAGGAAAAGAACGAUUGUAGGCCAGUUUAACUUCCAAUGUCAUGAAAUGCUUGGAGAGGUUCAUGACAGGAACUACGUAGGGAGGUGGAGCCAUCCCUAGAUCAGUACCAGUUUGCUGACAUGAGAAAUCGCAGCACAAAUUAUGCAAUUUCCAAAAUACUGCAGCCUGUUAUGAAGCACUUAUAAAGCUCUGCUGCAUAUGCCACAAUGCUUUUUAUUGAUUUUGUUCCUUUAACACUAAUCACCCACACACCCUGCUUCAAAAAUGUGUUCAGUUGAAGGUGAAUCCAUUUUUGAUUAAGUUGUAUUACUCUUUAUUUAUCAAACAGGUCCCAACAAGUGAAAUUAAUUCAGCCCUCUCUGAUAUAACAGUAAGG